AACCCCAUUUAAUAUGAAAGCGAAUGAGGUUCAUAAUUAUGAGUUAAUGAUUAGAGAUCAAGAUUAUAAACAUUUCCCAAUAAAGCCAUAAUAAAGAUGUUAGUAAAAGGAGGGAAAUCCAAGGAUCAAAGAGGAUGACUCUAUUGGAUGAGCCAAGAUUUUGAGCAACAAAUAAUCGAUGCAAUAAGCAUUCAUCCAUAUAUUUUUCUAAUGUUAAAGAUAGUAUUGCAACUCGAAUAAUGACAUGGCUAGCUUCCAACUGCGGGUCACAGUUUCGGCAAUUUGGUACCUUGGCACUGAAAAUGAAAUUCCUAUGCAAAUGAACCUUGUCACAAAUUAGCCCCAUCA
rnacentral:lncRNA from 1 species